UGGUCAAUAAUAUUUUAACCGAUUGCAAUUGCAAUUCUUUUUCCAGGGAGCCAGGCGGAGCAUCAACAAUCGUUGAGCGCCAACAACGAAGUGGCGAAGAGAUCCGCCGGAGAGGAUAAAAGCGAAGAUGUCAUCGAAGGCCCCAUCAGGGAAGUUCUUGCACAAAGCGGAAGCACCGCGAAUUUGCCGUGCAAAAUUACCGAACCAGGCGCUGGAACCAUCACGUGGAUGAAACGAAGAACAGGCGGUUGUUAACCGUGGGCAAGAGCACCCACUCGGUCGACAAACGAUUCGUCGUGAUUCACUCGAGUACCGAUUGGUUGCUGCA
rnacentral:misc_RNA from 1 species